rnacentral:rRNA from 1 species
ACACAUGCAAGUCGAGGGGCAGCAUGAUUGAAGCUUGCUUCAAUUGAUGGCGACCGGCGCACGGGUGAGUAACGCGUAUCCAACCUUCCGUACACUCAGGGAUAGCCUUUCGAAAGAAAGAUUAAUACCUGAUGGUAUGAUGAGAUUGCAUGAUAGCAUCAUUAAAGAUUUAUCGGUGUACGAUGGGGAUGCGUUCCAUUAGGUAGUAGGCGGGGUAACGGCCCACCUAGCCUACGAUGGAUAGGGGUUCUGAGAGGAAGGUCCCCCACAUUGGAACUGAGACACGGUCCAAACUCCUACGGGAGGCAGCAGUGAGGAAUAUUGGUCAAUGGACGAGAGUCUGAACCAGCCAAGUAGCGUGAAGGAUGAAGGUCUUACGGAUUGUAAACUUCUUUUAUAAGGGAAUAAAACCUCCCACGUGUGGGAGCUUGUAUGUACCUUAUGAAUAAGCAUCGGCUAACUCCGUGCCAGCAGCCGCGGUAAUACGGAGGAUGCGAGCGUUAUCCGGAUUUAUUGGGUUUAAAGGGAGCGCAGGCGGGUCGUUAAGUCAGCUGUGAAAGUUUGGGGCUCAACCUUAAAAUUGCAGUUGAUACUGGCGUCCUUGAGUGCGGUUGAGGUGUGCGGAAUUCGUGGUGUAGCGGUGAAAUGCUUAGAUAUCACGAAGAACUCCGAUUGCGAAGGCAGCACACUAAGCCGUAACUGACGUUCAUGCUCGAAAGUGUGGGUAUCAAACAGGAUUAGAUACCCUGG